rnacentral:rRNA from 1 species
UACGUAGGGGGCAAGCGUUGUCCGGAAUCAUUGGGCGUAAAGAGCGUGUAGGCGGCUCGAUAAGUCCGCUGUGAAAGUCCAGGGCUCAACCCUGGAAGGCCGGUGGAAACUGUCGGGCUAGAGUCCGGAAGAGGCGAGUGGAAUUCCCGGUGUAGCGGUGAAAUGCGCAGAUAUCAGGAGGAACACCGGUGGCGAAGGCGGGUCUCUGGGCCGAUACUGACGCUGAGGCGCGAAAGCGUGGGGAGCAAACGGG